rnacentral:misc_RNA from 1 species
GUGAAUCAUCAAAUCUUUGAACGCAAAUUGCGCUUCCUGGCAUCCCGGGAAGUAUGCCUGUUUGAGGGUCAGUAUUAAUAAAAAAUCGGUUUAUUUACAAAUUGUGACGUUUCCGGAGUUUGGGCUAUCUUACCAUUUUUGGUUAAGAGGCUUAAAAUUGACCUUUUUUGCGCAUUUUUAAACGUCCAUAAUUUUUUUUUUUUCUUCUUUUCUUAUUGCAAAAAUCUUAUUAGAUCCGUUCG